rnacentral:rRNA from 1 species
CCUACGGGAGGCAGCAGUGGGGAAUUUUCCGCAAUGGGCGAAAGCCUGACGGAGCAAUACCGCGUGAGGGAGGAAGGCUCUUGGGUUGUAAACCUCUUUUCUCAGGGAAGAACACAAUGACGGUACCUGAGGAAUCAGCAUCGGCUAACUCCGUGCCAGCAGCCGCGGUAAUACGGAGGAUGCAAGCGUUAUCCGGAAUGAUUGGGCGUAAAGCGUCCGCAGGUGGCUGUGUAAGUCUGCUGUCAAAGAGCAAAGCUCAACUAGAUAAGAGCAGUGGAAACUACAUAGCUAGAGUACGUUCGGGGCAGAGGGAAUUCCUGGUGUAGCGGUGAAAUGCGUAGAGAUCAGGAAGAACACCGGUGGCGAAGGCGCUCUGCUAGGCCGUAACUGACACUGAGGGACGAAAGCUAGGGGAGCGAAUGGGAUUAGAUACCCCUGUAGUC